rnacentral:rRNA from 1 species
CCUACGGGUGGCAGCAGUGGGGGAUAUUGCACAAUGGGGGGAACCCUGAUGCAGCGACGCCGCGUGGGUGAAGGAGCGUUUCGGCGCGUAAAGCCCUAUCGGCAGGGAAGAAGGAGGACGGUACCUGACUAAGAAGCCCCGGCUAACUACGUGCCAGCAGCCGCGGUAAUACGUAGGGGGCAAGCGUUAUCCGGAUUUACUGGGUGUAACGGGGGCGCAGACGGCAGCGCAAGCCAGGUGUGAAAGCCCGGGGCCCAACCCCGGGACUGCUCUUGGAACUGCGCGGCUGGAGUGCAGGAGGGGCAGGCGGAAUUCCUGGUGUAGCGGUGAAAUGCGUAGAUAUCAGGAGGAACACCGGUGGCGAAGGCGGGCUGCUGGACUGCGACUGACGUUGAGGCCCGAAAGCGUGGGGAGCGAACAGGAUUAGAUACCCUAGUAGUC